UUAAAGGCUAUGAAGGGAACCGAUUUGUAGUUCUUCUAUCCCUGUUUAUUUAGAGAGGCAGCGGUCGGUGCAAGCUGCUACAAAUAGAAGAAUGAAUUACAUCCCAGAGCUUUCUCUGUGAAAGGACUAGUAGCAGAGACCGGUUAUAACCGUUAUUUUGUUUGAGUUGGAGGAUUAUAUUCCUCAAGCUGGGUGGUACCGCGAUGAUUCGUCCCUGCA
rnacentral:ncRNA from 1 species